UGAAGAUUCCAUUAUUUCAAUGGGGCCAGGUUUCCAGCCAUCCUGAGUAGAAACCUAAUAUCGAUGCAUGGUUUAAGCGAUUUCAGAACAAAUUUGAGUGGGGUAGGGCGGACAACAAUGUUGUGAGGAAGGUAUGGGAGAAUCACGCGGCAACUAGGUUGCGUGAUUUUUUGUAUGACA